UUGUAUUGUCACAUGUACUCACAUGAGUACAGUGAGAAAUUUACAAAUCGCCACUUAUGCCAGCAACUUAAGUACACAGGUACCUAGGUACAGAUUCAUAAGUAUAAAUUCUUAGGGCAAAAAAUUAAGAAAAAUAAAGAAACAAAAGGUCCAGCAAUAAAUUAGAAAAAUAGAGAAAUAAGAGUUCAGAAUAACAGUCCUUUCAAUCGUUGGGCUUCACCUCAGGGCCUGGAGUUCGAGUCCAAGCUGAGGUCAGGAGUUCAAGUCCAUGUUGAGGCCAGGAGUUCGAGUCCACACUGAAGCCGGGAGUUCGAGUCCACACUGAGGCUGGGAGUCUGCUCUGGAGUUCACCCCAACAUGGCCAGUGUCACACAAGGAUGGGAGGUAAAAAGAAAAAGAAAAGAACAAUGUGAGAAGAGAGAAAAGAAAAGAAACUGAUGGAGUGGACGAGCUCUGGCUCAGAAUUCUACUCUGCUGCCAUCUUAGGCAUGUUUUCAGAUUGAUAUCCAUCCCAGUGCCAUGCUUUUUGCACAUUGUGUGCUGCGGAGAUACCAGAAUUUUUAUUUCUCACUUUUCAUUUGCAGGAUAGUUUUAAGAGGCAAUUCCUUCAGAUGCUGGCAGUUUUAGAAACCUACUCCAAUUGCUCACCAUUCUGGGCACUUUGUGGUCUUGAUACAACACUGACCUUUAAAUGAACAGACUGCACACUAUCAUGGAAAGUCAACUCGUUGCUUGUCAUGUCUCCAGCUUGGAGGAACAGCCUUACUGUAUAGAGUUACAUCCUGAAAGUGGCAAGGCCAAGUUCAACUCAAGCUUCUGAGAUAGCACAUGGGAAACAGCUCCAAAAACAGAUCAUCUGCUGGAAAACUGCCCCAGGAGUGGACUGAGUGCACAAAUCCAAUUAUCUCAUUACUGCUGGUCGAGAAUGGUGGUUGAGUAUGAAAUGA